rnacentral:rRNA from 1 species
GAUGAACGCUGGCGGCGUGCCUAAUACAUGCAAGUCGAGCGAACAGACGAUGCGCUUGCUCCUCUCACGUUAGCGGCGGAGGGGUGAGUAACAUGUGGAUAACCUACCUAUAAGACUGAGAUAACUUCGGGAAACCGGAGCUAAUACCGGAUAAUAUAUUGAACCGCGUGGUUCAAUAGUGAAAGUCGGCUUUGCUGGAACGUAUCGAUGGAUACGGGCCGUAUGAGCUAGUUGGGAAGGUAACGGCCUAUCAAGGCAACGAGGCGUUGCCGACCUGUGAGGGUGGUCGGCCACCUGAGAGCGUGAACGGCGACCAGACGACUGCGAUACGGAGCAGUAGGGAAUCUUACGCAGUGGUCGAAAGCCUUACGGAGCAAGGCCACGUCAGUGAUGACAAUGUUCGGAGCGUAAAACUCGCUUACUAGUUAAGAACCAAUGUGUAAGUAACUAUGCACGUCUUGACGGUACCGAGUCAGAAAGCCCCGGCUAACUACGUG